rnacentral:lncRNA from 1 species
AGACGCUCUCAGUCGCCGAGCGCAUAGGUGUCGUAAGAAGCGGAACAUGCAAAGACAUUAUAUGUAUCUUGUUUGAAGGGAGGGGGACGAGUAAUAGGGAAAUAACAAUAAUAGCUAGAUUUUUGUGACAAGUAGACGAGAUUUUAAUUGAGUGCCAGUGUUUAUAAAAAUGGUAGUGUUUUCGAAUUUAAUUCAAUAAUCCAGGCAAUUCCAUCAAUGGAUUCAUUUUACAAGCAACAACGCGUCCUACUCCCUGAAGAGAUCAUUUAAGGUUAAUCGGACAUGUGGACCCCAUAUUCCAACUCAACUAAAAAGAAAGUGGCCCUAACUCCGAAGGACAACAAGACGCAUUUUAUAUUUAUUUGUAAUAUUAUUUAAAUAAUAAACAAAAUUUAAAAAAAAAAUUAUCACUUCAAAAAGGGGUUAGGAUUAAAUGAAUAAACAGCGGUGAAAAAGCGAAGAAUACACCGAUGAUUUACCGUUUUAAAUACGCUUAAAAAGCGGUGAUUAAAAGCGAUGAUUUUGCGCUUUUUCAGCGGUGUUUGUGCGAAUUUU